AACGAACGCUGGCGGCAUGCCUCAUACAUGCAAGUCGAACGAGAUUCUUCGGAUUCUAGUGGCGCACGGGUGAGUAACAUGUGGGAAUCUACCUGAAGGUUCGGAAUAACUGCGGGAAACUGCAGCUAAUACCGGAUGUGUCUGCAAAGAGAAAGAUUUAUCGCCUUCAGAUGAGCCCGCACUAGAUUAGCUAGUUGGUGAGGUAACUGCUCCACCAAGGCUCCGAUCUAUAGCUGAUUUGAGAGGAUGAUCAGCCACACUGGGACUGAGACACGGCCCAGACUCCUACGGGAGGCAGCAGUAGGGAAUAUUGGACAAUGGGGGAAACCCUGAUCCAGCAAUGCCGCGUGAGUGAAGAAGAGCCUUCGGGUUGUAAAGCUCUUUCAUCAAUGAUGAUAAUGACAUUAGUUGAAGAAGAAGCCCCGGCUAACUUCGUGCCAGCAGCCGCGGUAAUACGAAGGGGGCUAGCGUUGUUCGGAAUCACUGGGCGUAAAGCGUAUGUAGGCGGAUCAAAAAGUUAGAUGUGAAAUCCCUGGGCUCAACCCAGGAACUGCAUUUAAAACUAGUGAUCUAGAAUUUGGUAGGGGCCAGUAGAAUUUCCAGUGUAGAGGUGAAAUUCGUAGAUAUUGGAAAGAAUACCAGUGGCGAAGGCGACUGGCUGGGCCAUUUUUGACGCUGAGAUACGAAAGCGUGGGUAGCAAACAGGAUUAGAUACCCUGGUAGUCCACGCAGUAAACGAUGAGUGCUAGUCGCUGGGACAAUAGUUUCAGUGUCGAAGCUAACGCAUUAAGCACUCCGCCUGGGAAGUACGGUCGCAAGAUUAAAACUCAAAUAAAUUGACGGGGGCCCGCACAAGCGGUGGAGCAUGUGGUUUAAUUCGAAGCAACGCGAAGAACCUUACCAGACCUUGACAUGGUAUGUUUGAAUUACAGAAUCGUAAUUCUUCAGUUCGGCUGGCAUACACACAGGUGCUGCAUGGCUGUCGUCAGCUCGUGUCGUGAGAUGUUGGGUUAAGUCCCGCAACGAGCGCAACCCUCAUUUUUAGUUGCCAUCAGGUUAAGCUGGGCACUCUAAAAAAACUGCCGGUGAUAAGCUGGAGGAAGGCGGGGAUGACGUCAAGUCCUCAUGGCCCUUACGGUCUGGGCUACACACGUGCUACAAUGGUGGUGACAGUGGGCAGCAAUACUGCAAAGUAAAGCUAAUCCCAAAAAACCAUCUCAGUUCGGAUUGGACUCUGCAAACUCGAGUCCAUGAAGUUGGAAUCGCUAGUAAUCGUAGAUCAGCGUGCUACGGUGAAUACGUUCUCGGGCCU
rnacentral:rRNA from 1 species